UUAACUGCUUUAUGCUAAAGAAAUUGCGAACAAUCAUACACUUAUCGUUAUACCCUACAAUUAAUUUUCAGAGCGCGUUAAUAAUCGUCUUAAAUAGAAAUCCAUAAUGUUAAUUUUCUAGCCUGUUAUGUCAACUAUUUUUCCCCAUUCAGUUUUUUCAUUGACACUCAACGACACAGAUUGAGAUCUCGUUUGUUACAAGAGAGACUGUUUGCUCGCAGAGAUUUCUUCAGUGAGUUUACAGUAGUUGGCCCGCCGUAGCAGAAACAUUCUAUGUGUCCGCAGAGAAGGCUACAAAAUGAGAUCGCUGCUGGCCUCAGCGAAAGCGAGGAUGCGAUACUAACGUAGAGUGCAAACCCAAGCACUUUGACUUGGGCACAUGUUGUGCCAACUCAGCGAAAAUGCAAGCUCAUAUCAUCAAAAGGAGGAGAGGCAAGGAAGCGAGAUUAAGCCCUUGUUCGACAGCUGGCAACGUAUAUCAUACGUAAUACACGUACGGUUCGUAACAUGGAGGAGCAAUGUGUUGAGGAAGUGCGCUCAGAAAGAACAUUUUUAUUUAUUAUACAGUUCCGCGCAUGAAUAAAUGGUCACGAUGAUGAAAUAUACCCAAUGUUACUAUGUUAGUUAUAAUCUUUACUUCCUCCUCGCACUUACGAAUGAUUUUUAUGAUAUGAAUUUGUAUUAUGAAAUGAAGGUUCGUUAAAAUUUUAUCAAUUAACAAAGUACUUAGAGGAGCCACGCAUCAUCUUGUAUGUAAUGUUUACAACCUAUAACAAGCUUCGCUUGUCAAUGUUCCUUACAGCAAUGAAAGAGCUUCUCAAAAGUUAUCAAAAGAUAUUCUAGAACGAGUUAAAAAUUCAUCGAGCUUUUAGAACGAACGUUUCGACUAAGCGGUCGAAUUCAACCCUUUAGCUUAAUCUCAGUGUGCAACAGAGUUUUUCGAGUUACAGAUACAACGAUGAAGGGUGGCGGAGAGGAUGGUAGCGAGGGAGGUGAAGGAGAUGAGGGAGGAGAGGGGGAAAGCAGAGCAAGGGUGGGGCAACGAAGCUGCCGGUGGGAUGGGGAGCUAUGAGGGCGAAGUUAUCCAAUUAUUGUCUAACCUGGGAGCAACUUUACUUGGCGGAGAACCGUUGGUGGGAGGGAAGCUCGUCCUGCCAGCUCUCUCCCUUCCUACAAUCGAGCCACGAUAAAGUAAAGUUUGUUUCAAAACUUACCGCGCGGAGAGGUGACUAGGUUUUUGUUAGUGACACGUGAAAUUCAAACGACUUCAAUGCGAUAAUAAUCGCGGCAAAUUUUUUUAUAUCGACCGGCAAGAUGAGACGGUGUAUUCAGAUUCAAGAAGGAUCCCAUAAAUUAAGUCAAAGGUUCAUUAAUAAUACGAUCGCUACGAAACUUUUUCAGCGUGAACAUUCAAGAAUACGGCCACGUCUUAUGAAUAUGUAAUUAAGCAAAAGAAGAUAUAGCUAUUAAUUAAUUAAGAAUUGCAUUAUCCUUAAGUUUAAAUUUAACUAAUCGCAAAUUAGGAUAAGUUACAUUAUACGUUUACUUUGAGCACAGAUUUCUGUUAUUAUAUAAUAAGAGUGUUAAUAUAUUUGUAAAAGAUAUGUACAUGCAUCUUUUAUUCUUGUUUCUUGAAGUCAUACAAUAUAACGAUAUUGUAAAGGACGGAUGUGUUAAAUAUUCCGUGAUAAAUAUUUCUAUUAAUAUGCAUAAGGAGUUAAUUAGAAUCAAACCAUUUCGUUAUAACAAAACCAUUAUUAUUUGAAAUUCGGUAUUAGGAAUGCUCAUUGAUAGCGAGCUAAAAAUAAACAAGUCUAUUAGGAAUAGUACACUAGCGAUAACAUUCGUUAUAAUGACGCAUAUGGCAUCGUGGAAACCUUUUUAAAGCGAUGUAUUGUUAGCACCAAUAGAUACGUAUUUUAGGUCAGUUUUAAACACAAAUCACGUCAUUAUUUUAAUUACUAUUCUAAAUGUUGAACAUAUAUAUAUUUUAACUUCUCUCAUGUUUCUUGGAUAGAUCCGGUAUAUUAUGCGCACGUAAAUUUAUCGGUUAUAAAACAAUAUCAAUUUUUAAAAAAUUCUUCUACAUGCUCGGAAAUUUCAUGUAAUUAACCAAAAACCAAAAUCAAUCUUCA